UUUAAGCGAACGGUUGUCUGACAGCCACAAGUCUCCUUUAGCAGUGAGUAUGCCGUUCACAUCAUGAGAUGUCCACACAGUAAGAUCUCUUCCCUGUAUCGUUUUAACUACUUCAGAAACUAAGACUGCUACUGCUGCCACUACCCGUAAACAAUGAGGCCAACAUUUUGCCACUACAUCAAUUUCCUUACUCAGUUUUCUUUAACUGUCAGGAAAUAAAUGAGACAGCAUUCUGAGAAGGAUCUAGAGGUGCCACCACGAACAUUCUGAAGGAGGCUGAUAGAGCGGACAACCCACCAAGUCUGGGAGUUGACUUGACAGCCCUGCCCACGAGAAGCUGGCUAAGACAGCACAGUAGAAAUGUGGCCUGAAGAUUGGGGCACAAACACAGCACAAAUCUAUCAUAACCGAGUCUUAAAUUUGCUUUACAUGUGAAAACCAUAUACUCACACACCAACAAGAACUCACCCCAGCUGGCCUAAGCUAAGGAAUCUACAGUCCUUGGAAAAAGAACAAGUCAGAAGAAAGAACUUCAGGAUCCUUCCAGCUGUUUCCCAUGAUUUAUCAUUCUUACAGUGUAGCCGCUUCAAAAUACUUUUUUAACUUCAUGCUAUGAAUUCCAAACACAUUUAAGGUUAACCUCUGUCUUUGGUGUGAUAUAAGACCACUUAUGCCACUCUGCUUUUUCUUGGUUGGCUUUUACAUUUCCUUUCAUGCAUGCCCUGUUUUCCAGUAAAGUAACCCUAUCCCAGGGCCUUUGACUAGCUCUACUUUUGAAUCAACUAAUAUUUGCUGUUUCCACGUGGCAGGUGUGACCUUAGGCCAGGUGCUAUGAGUUAAACAAAGAUGAAUGAGACUUGGACCCUGCCCUUAAAUAUUCAAACCAGCUAAGGGUUGGUGGUUAAACUCUGGACUCAGACAGACCUGGGGUGGAAUUCCGGCUUCUCUACCUACCAGCUUGGGCAAGUUAUUUACAUUCUUCUAAAUUCCCCCCUUUUUUUCCCCCACAACUGGGCAUGAUAUUAUCUACCUCAUAGGCUUGCCAUGAGGAUUAAUUAAAUAAUAAAGUGCAGUGCCACAUAGUAAGCAAAUAAUUUAGCCUUCUCAUUAUUCCUAUUAUCAUUAUUUCCAUGGGGAAGAGGAUGUUUGGACUUUUCCUUCUGAACCCUCCCUCCCUUUUUUCAUUCAACCUCUUAACUGCACAGAACUCUUCUGUUUUCUUUUAAGAGAAGAGGGAAAGCCAUUCUGAUGAAGAUCUGAGAUGUGAAUAUAACCUUGACUGCAGAUGGACGGAGACAAUAGGAAAUUAUGUCAUACCUCUAUUUAAUCCACGUUGGUCCUGGUUUCAUCUUCUCAUUUCUGACCUUUGAGAAACAUUUGUUGUAGAAAAGGACAAAUAACAUGAUUACGUCGCUGAUGAUUAGUCUCUAGGCAUUCA
rnacentral:lncRNA from 1 species